rnacentral:rRNA from 1 species
UAAGACGAACCGUACAAACGUUAUUCGGAAUCACUGGGCUUAAAGGGUGCGUAGGCGGCGGCGCAAGUUGGGUGUGAAAUCCCUCGGCUCAACCGAGGAACUGCGCUCAAAACUGCGUUGCUUGAGGGAGAUAGAGGUGAGUGGAACUUAGGGUGGAGCGGUGAAAUGCGUUGAUAUCCUAAGGAACACCAGUGGCGUAAGCGACUCACUGGGUCUCUUCUGACGCUGAGGCACGAAAGCUAGGGGAGCGAACGGG